UGUUAUAUUAUUAUAUUAUUACGAGCGUACGCCGAACGGAAUGUCGACACGAAACGCGGCGAGGAAAUAACAAUAUCGGUCGUCAUUGAUAUCCAAAAUAUCGAUUCGACGCAGUCGCUUUCCGGACACGGAGCGGAGCGGACGUGUUUCUCUUUGCUCCUCGAAAGAAUAUCGCAUUAUUUGAUUUUUUCCCGAGAAUCGUCAAAGAAAAUCAGCCAGAGCUGGCUAAUGCGAAGAACUUUUUUUCCCAAGAAAGAGUGCUCAACCCUUCGCAAUCUCAAUUCUAGCUCUUUUUUACCAACAUCUCGUAGUAGCACCCUCGGAUCCAUUUAAUUCUAAAGUUCCUUCGAUCCUCUAGAUUUUCGAAACACGAAAAAAUUCAAAAUUCUUGACGUUCCAAAUUAAUAAUUAACAACGAUAAUAAUUAUCAAAUAAAGUUUAACCAUUUUAUUAUAUAUUUAUAUCGGAAAAUUGAAUUACUUGCGAUAGAUUGAACGCAGCCACAGAAAAUUUACGUGUCAAAAUCCCAGGUCAACACGACUAAGAUAUCCCCGACAGUGUUGCACGAUGAUGAGAGAAUUAGGCGGAGCAAGCAAAGUAUCCCUCUUGUCCCCAACGCCUGUCCCAAAGGAGACCUCGGUAACGCAUAGUACAUGGUGGAACAGAACAGGUAGUUAGUCCGACCUCGUGUUUAAUACCGUGUUCACACAUUGGCCAGAGCUAUAUACUACUAAACAAAGCAAUAUGUAUCCACCUGAAUUGGCGAGAAUGGCUCGUGAACAAUUGAGACGUAACUAGGAGAAAUGGAAAUAAUGGGAAGCAAAAAUACAUAGCAAUAGGAAAUUUUUAAUAACGAAAUCUUUCGACGAAGGAUAUGCACAUACAUUGAAUUAUAACGCUUAUAAUAUGGAUUAUCGUGGAAUACAAUAAUUAUUCAUUCGGACACACAGGUGUGAACGUAGCAUAAAUAUUUGAUUUCUCGAAAUUUGACGCAUCAAUGAAUAAUAUUGCUCAUCAGGAUUAGUUGGAAUAGUCUCUCCAAUACUAUUCCAGGGCAUGCUCAUUCUACCGUGCUUCCUCCUACAAUUUGAGCCAGCUUUGCGGUUUCAAACUCCUGUUACGUCAAUAACCUGUUCGAUCUUCCCACAAUACUAAUUUCUAAUCUAGUUUCAAAUAAGAAGAACGGAGAUUAGCAUAAUAAAUUUUGUAAAAGAAAAUAUGAUAAAAUAUCUCGUAUAUAAAAACUGGUCUGAAUUAUGAAUACACGUAGCAUAGGCACGAAUUAAAAGAGCAAGCGUGGGAGUUGCAACGUGCCUGAGAAACAGGAUAGGAAAGAGCGCACAUAGUUUCAUGAAAAGUGAAGAUGAAAGUAUAUAUAUAUAUAUAGAAGAGACAAAGUAGGAGGAUAUAGCACGCGAGCUCGCGUGAUCAACAUGGAUGUGUGGACAAAGAACGAGAGAAGAGGAAGGACAGGGGCAGGAUGAUGGAGGAACGAUGGAAGAGCCCUUCCACGUGUAAUAUAGUAAUAACCGCGUGGAGAAGCUUUAUCGGUAUAGCUGCCCCUUUAUUUAUUAUUCAUCUCGAGUCCACAGCUCGCGAGGACGAGAUCUCGUCGUCUCCUCUCCUGGAAUAAAGAACGGGUUAACCCUCGUUCUCGGUUAGAAGAGCGCAGGCUCGUUCAGGAUUUGUCCUACGAUUACGACACCGCACAGGAGAAAAUGUAGGAAGGAUCUUCUUUUUUAAGAAGAUCUUUAGAAGGGAACGUAGAAGGGAUUCUCGUGUUUGUAGAAGAUGGAAGGAAUCGUUGAGAAUCUUUGUUAUAAAAAUAUAUGUAAAUUGGGAUGGAAUUUUCUUCUAUUUGUUCAUAAAUGUGUAACAAUUUUUUCGAGAUAGUUGUAUUACAGGCUUUACAAUUUAGGCUGAAACAACGCGUUAAAAAUUGUGUCAGAGAAAUUAUUCCCUUUUUCGCUUAAUUUUUAUGGAUGUCACGUGUCUUGCCUCGUCUCCUUACUUUGUCGAGGUAAUUGUCGAGGUAAUAACUGCAUCGAAGAAAAUGUUGAAAACCCUUGAUUUAAUCUUUAAUUUUUUUCUAUCGAUUGAUAAGAAAAUUAAAAAUAAAAACUCGCGUUGAUUUUUAUAAUUUUCGUAAAGAAUGGAAGGGGAGGAAAUUCGUUGUACAUCUCUUUUUAGUUACUUUACGAAUCCUACUAAAGUUUCAAAUAAAUUUUCAGUUUCAGUAAAGUUCCCUUGUCAGACCCAGGCCAAGGAAAUUGCUCAGUUGCCGAGUUUCACAUCCACUUUGCAUUCGCCAAAACAUUUUCUGAAACUGGUGGGAAGGGGCUAAUGAGAAGUAGUUUCUCCAUCCAGGAAGAAGUCAGAUUGUGUACAUCCGCGAACGAGAAAAUCGAACUCUAUAAGGAACAACUUCCAAGAAGACUGAUCGGACAAUCUUCGCACAAUUCUCAUCUUUAAGGAGAGACCACCCCCUUGGAUGGAUCCGUUCAAACAACUCUGUCCACUUUGUGGAAAUCCUUGGAUAGGAAGAGGAAUUUUUCUUCUUCUUCUUUAUUUAUUUAUUUGAUUCUUCGUGUAAGAUCAAUUUUAUUCUCUUAUUUACUUAUCUCGAUCAGAGAAAAUUACAUCGAAAUGAUUUCUAUUUGUAGCUUCAUGGAUUUACUCGAAUUAUAUGAUUUUUUAAUAUCGUUUAAAAAAAUAAAGGGACUAAUAACAAUAGAAUAUUCGAACAAGAAAACAUAGAAGAAAGUUUCUACGAAUCGAAAUAUAUAUUUCUCGUGUAAUUCUAAACGAGAUUUCUUUCUAAAAACU